GGUCAAGCGAAUAAGCGCACACGGUGGAUGCCUUGGCGGUCAGAGGCGAUGAAGGACGUGGCAGCCUGCGAAAAGUAUCGGGGAGCUGGCAACAAGCUUUGAUCCGGUAAUGUCCGAAUGGGGAAACCCACCCGCUUGCGGGUAUCCUGCAGUGAAUACAUAGCUGCUGGAAGCGAACCUGGUGAACUGAAAUAUCUAAGUAACCAGAGGAAAAGAAAUCAACCGAGAUUCCGUAAGUAGCGACGAGCGAACGCGGACUAGCCCUUAAGCUGAUUUGGUUCUAGGAAAAUGCUCUGGAAAGAGCGGCCAUAGAAGGUGAUAGCCCUGUAUCUGAAAGGGCCAUUUCAGUGAAGACGAGUAGGGCGGGGCACGUGAAACCCUGUCUGAACAUGGGGGGACCAUCCUCCAAGGCUAAAUACUACUGACCGACCGAUAGUGAACCAGUACCGUGAGGGAAAGGCGAAAAGAACCCCGGAGAGGGGAGUGAAAUAGAUCCUGAAACCGUGUGCGUACAAGCAGUAGGAGCCUCGCAAGGGGUGACUGCGUACCUUUUGUAUAAUGGGUCAGCGACUUACUGUUCGUGGCAAGCUUAACCGUAUAGGGGAGGCGAAGGGAAACCGAGUCUGAUAAGGGCGCAUAGUCGCGGGCAGUAGACCCGAAACCGGGUGAUCUAGUCAUGGCCAGGGUGAAGGUGCCGUAACAGGUACUGGAGGCCCGAACCCACGUCUGUUGCAAAAGACGGGGAUGAGCUGUGAUUAGGAGUGAAAAGCUAAUCGAACCCGGAGAUAGCUGGUUCUCCUCGAAAGCUAUUUAGGUAGCGCCUCAUAUGUAUCCUCUCGGGGGUAGAGCACUGUUAUGGCUAGGGGGUCAUCGCGACUUACCAAACCAUUGCAAACUCCGAAUACCGAGACGGACUGUAU
rnacentral:rRNA from 1 species